AAUGCUUUCCUAUGCGACCGGCUGAAUGCGCGCGCAGUUCUUGCCGCGCGUGCGCAUUCAGCCGGCGGGGCUUAACGGAGGCGGAGAGGAGGAGGAGAGCUCUCCGCCCAGCGCUGGAAAAAGGUAAGUUUUUACCCCUUUCCCCCUUCCAGAGCCGGGCGGGAGGGGGUCCCUGAGGGUGGGGGCACCCUCAGGGCACUAUAGUGCCAGGAAAACGAGUAUGUUUUCCCGGCACUAUAGUGGUCCUUUAAUGAGUU